rnacentral:rRNA from 1 species
UCGGCUUAGAGUUUGAUCCUGGCUCAGAUUGAACGCUGGCGGCAUGCUUUACACAUGCAAGUCGAACGGCAGCACGGGGGCAACCCUGGUGGCGAGUGGCGAACGGGUGAGUAAUAUAUCGGAACAUGUCCGGAAGUGGGGGAUAACGUAGCGAAAGUUACGCUAAUACCGCAUAUGCCCUGAGGGGGAAAGGGGGGGAUCGCGAGACCUCUCGCUUUCGGAGUGGCCGAUAUCGGAUUAGCUAGUUGGUGGGGUAAAGGCUCACCAAGGCGACGAUCCGUAGCUGGUCUGAGAGGACGACCAGCCACACUGGGACUGAGACACGGCCCAGACUCCUACGGGAGGCAGCAGUGGGGAAUUUUGGACAAUGGGGGCAACCCUGAUCCAGCCAUGCCGCGUGAGUGAAGAAGGCCUUCGGGUUGUAAAGCUCUUUCAGACGGAAAGAAACGGUCACGGCCAAUAGGCCGUGACUAAU